UUUUGGGCAAUGGGGGAAACCCUGAUCCAGCUAUCCCGCGAGUAUGAGGACGGCCUUCUGGUAGUAUAGUACUUUUGGCGGAGAAGAAAAGUUAUCUCCUAUUAUGGGAUACUGCUGACGUUAUCUGCAGAAUAAGCACCGGCUAACACGGUGCCAGCAGCGGCGGUAAUACGUAGGGUGACAGCGUUAAUCGGAAUUACUGGGCGUAAAGAGUGUGUCGGAGGUUCGGAAAGAAAGAUGGGAAAUACCAGGGCUCAACCUUGGAAAUGCAUUUUUAACUGCCGAGCUAGAGUAUGUCAGAGGGGGGUAGAAUUCCACGUGUAGCAGUGAAAUGCGUAGAUAUGUGGAGGAAUACCGAUGGCGAAGGCAGCCCCCUGGGAUAAUACUGACCCUAAGACACGAAAGCGUGGGGAGCAAACAGG
rnacentral:rRNA from 1 species